rfam:Camelus ferus unplaced genomic scaffold scaffold1533, whole genome shotgun sequence.
GAGGGUAUAGCUCAGUGGUAGAGCAUGUGCCUAGCCUGCACGAGGUCCUGGGUUCAAUCCCCAGUACCUCCA